rnacentral:rRNA from 1 species
UACGAAGGGGGCUAGCGUUGUUCGGAAUCAUUGGGCGUAAAGCGCGUGUAGGCGGCUCGAUAAGUCUGCUGUGAAAGUCCAGGGCUCAACCCUGGAAUGCCGGUGGAAACUGUCGAGCUUGAGUCCGGAAGAGGCGAGUGGAAUUCCUGGUGUAGCGGUGAAAUGCGCAGAUAUCAGGAGGAACACCAAUGGCGAAGGCAGCUCGCUGGGACGGUACUGACGCUGAGACGCGAAAGCGUGGGGAGCAAACAGG